UCGCCUGUUUAUCAAAAACAUAGCCUUAAGAAAUAAUUUAAGGUAAGCCCUGCCCAGUGGAAAAUAUUCUUAACGGCCGCAGUACCUUGACUGUGCUAAGGUAGCGUAAUCAGUUGGCUUUUAAAUGGAGUCGAGAAUGAACGGGGCCAUGGGGAAAUACUGUCUCUUUCUUGAUUAAUUUAAUUUGCUUAAUAGGUGAAAAUACCUUUAUAAAGAAAAAAGACGAGAAGACCCUUAGAGCCUAACAAUAUAAUAUAGUUUAUUUGUUUUUGUUGGGGCGACAAGAAGACAAAAAUAUAACUCUUCUUAAAUACUAAACGAUUAUAAUAUAUAAGAACAGGCUACCUUAGGGAUAACAGCAUAAUUAUACUUUAGUUUGUGACCUCGAUGUUGGACUAGGAACUUGAUGACUAGUCGUCAAUAAAGGAAAGUUCUGUUCGAACUGCUUUUCC
rnacentral:rRNA from 1 species